UACGGGGGGAGCAAGCGUUGUUCGGAUUUACUGGGCGUAAAGGGCGCGUAGGCGGCCACCGCAAGUCGGUUGUGAAAUCUCUGGGCUUAACCCAGAAAGGUCAACCGAUACUGCGGGGCUAGAGUGCAGAAGGGGCAACUGGAAUUCUCGGUGUAGCGGUGAAAUGCGUAGAUAUCGAGAGGAACACCUGCGGCGAAGGCGGGUUGCUGGGCUGACACUGACGCUGAAGCGCGAAAGCUAGGGAGCGAACGGG
rnacentral:rRNA from 1 species